rnacentral:rRNA from 1 species
CCCUUAGAUGUUCUGGGCCGCACGCGCGCUACAAUGAUGAAUUCAACGAGUUUUAUACCUUGGUUGAAAAGCCUGGGUAAUCUUUUGAACUUUCGUCGUGAUGGGGCUAGACCCUUGCAAUUAUUGGUCUCCAACGAGGAAUUCCUAGUAAACGCAAGUCAUCAGCUUGCAUUGAUUACGUCCCUGCCCUUUGUACACACCGCCCGUCGCACCUACCGAUUGAAUGGUCCGGUGAAAUCUUCGGAUUGAGACUUUGAUUUGUUUACUCAAAACGCUGUUUCAAGAAGUUGAUUAAACCUUACCAUUUAGAGGAAGGUGAAGUCGUAACA